GCAAAGAUGGACCUUCCAAGAGCAUUUGAGAUUCUAGAGAUGUGAUUGGUUGGCACCCAAUUUGCUGACCCUAUCUUGUGCAGAAUAGUAUAUUUCACAGUUAGCUUUCCAGCAGGGAGAUGCUUCUUGCUAGGCCACUCCUUGACCUGUCUUGCAGUUAUUUCCCUACAUACCUCAUUGUCUGUGGCUUCCAGUUCACAAGCACUUUCUGUUCCUCUUCCUAGAAACUUAUUAAUC
rnacentral:lncRNA from 1 species